CUCACCGUUUUUGACAUCAGGUACUUAUUCGACGAUUGAAAAUGUGCGGAACUGUCACCUGGAACAGGGAUUACUUUGUUUCAUGGUUUCAAGAGAUGGUAACAGUUAGAUUCUAACUGUUAGAAGGAGGUCAAAGGGGCUUUCUUGUAUUGAACUGAAAUCCAAAUGGCUGAGUGUCUUACUCCUGCACAGAACUGGGGGAAUCCACACCCUCGGAGAAACAUCUAGAAGAUGUGGCCAAUUCCAUUCAGUCACGAAAGUGUUUCUUGUAAAUCCAUUGUGACCAAGAAUUCACCUGGAAAUAGUUCCUCUUUUCAUUAACAUUCAAAUACAUGUGAAGCUCUUAUCGUGUGCCUGUAAAUAAAAUGGUGAACAAGGCCGAGAAACAGAAGCUACAUUUUUCUAGAGCUUUCUGGUAUGUUAAUGAACAAUCAAGCAAAUAUCUGUCUCUCUCCCUCGUUGGCUGUAGGCUGCAGGAGGGCAGAAGCCAUGUCUUUGCUCCCAAUUGUCUACACUGUGCCUAGAACAUGGUAGGCACUGAAGUAUCUGUUGUUCCCGCCCUAACGCUUCACUUGGUGAAUCCCUAGAGGAGCUGGGACAUGGCCAGGGAGGGUGAAAUAUGAUAAGUAAGAGGAAAGCACAGCUCAGAGUUGACAGGGACCCCACGUGCAAGAACUGAGACUCACAAUGGAUUUACCAACUCCUUGGCUAAUGCAUUUAAUCUUUCUUGACCCUGAAGCUGAAAGCAAGUGAAGGCAAAGAGGCAGCCUAAGUCAGCAUCAGGCUGCUGUGUUUCCAAUUUAUCACCAAAGUUGUUUAGAUCAGCUGAUUAAAUCCCAGAGGGGUCUGGGAUAUGUAGUCUGAGAAGUAUUCCUGGAUGCCAUGCUUAAACUGUGGCACAAUAAAAUCAAAGUUACAACGCAGAGGUGUGGAUAUGUGGUGCUGAAGCUCUCUCAGGAGGAAGAAGUCCUUUCAAUGGGGAGCUUCUGGGAUGCAUUUGCAGCAGUUGUAUUUGAUUUAUAAAAAAUAUAGUUUUCCCAGAAGUUUUGAAGAAUGAUAAUUUAAAAAAAUAACAAGUCAAGGUCAAGGGCAUUCUACACCCUGGGGACCCAUUCAAUCUUGUUCCUUUUCUAACUUCUCUGGAAAUAGUUCCUCUUUUCAUACAGAGGCCCACAAGAGGGUGCUACACUCCUUUUAGACCUACCUUCUUGUAUCAGCCCGAAGGCCACAGGGAGCUACAAAACCAUCAUAAAAAUAAGACAGAAAGUGCUGAUUUCACACCGGUGAUGACAGCCAAUGAGUAAUCUAAAGUAACCCAGAUAAGAAACUUCACCUAACUGCUGAUACCUAAACUGCUUUACGAAAUCAGCUAAACCUGACCUCAAGACCCGGGAUCUAAUUUCUCUGAAAGGAAACUCAACUCUGGGAAUGAAUAGAGUUGAUUGGCAGAAGAUCCAGAACACAUACUGCCUUCACACAUAUUGUUCAAGAGACCAGGCUAUUGAGCCCUUUGUCUAAGAAAAUUCCCCCAAACCCGUCUUUUUUAUUACAGGCACUUCA